CGACGAGUUUGAUCAUGGCUCAGGAUGAACGCUAGCGGCAGGCCUAACACAUGCAAGUCGAGGGGUAACAGGAGAGCUUGCUCUCGCUGACGACCGGCGCACGGGUGCGUAACGCGUAUACAAUUUACCUUAUACUGGAGGAUAGCCCGGAGAAAUCCGGAUUAAUACUCCAUAACAUUACAGAAUCGCAUGAUUCCAUAAUUAAAGUUUCGGCGGUAUAAGAUGAGUAUGCGUCCUAUUAGUUAGUUGGUAAGGUAACGGCUUACCAAGACAGCGAUAGGUAGGGGGCCUGAGAGGGUUAUCCCCCACACUGGUACUGAGACACGGACCAGACUCCUACGGGAGGCAGCAGUGAGGAAUAUUGGACAAUGGAGGCAACUCUGAUCCAGCCAUGCCGCGUGAAGGAAGAAUGUCCUACGGAUUGUAAACUUCUUUUAUUUGGGAAGAAACUUCUCUACGUGUAGAGAACUGACGGUACCAAACGAAUAAGGACCGGCUAACUCCGUG
rnacentral:rRNA from 1 species